rnacentral:rRNA from 1 species
AGUGAACGCUGGCGGUAGGCCUAACACAUGCGGGUCGAACGGCAGCACAGUAAGAGCUUGCUCUUACGGGUGGCGAGUGGCGGACGGGUGAGGAAUACAUCGGAAUCUACUUUUUCGUGGGGGAUAACGUAGGGAAACUUACGCUAAUACCGCAUACGACCUACGGGUGAAAGCAGGGGAUCUUCGGACCUUGCGCGAUUGAAUGAGCCGAUGUCGGAUUAGCUAGUUGGCGGGGUAAAGGCCCACCAAGGCGACGAUCCGUAGCUGGUCUGAGAGGAUGAUCAGCCACACUGGAACUGAGACACGGUCCAGACUCCUACGGGAGGCAGCGGUGGGGAAUAUUGGACAAUGGGCGCAAGCCUGAUCCAGCCAUACCGCGUGGGUGAAGAAGGCCUUCGGGUUGUAAAGCCCUUUUGUUGGGAAAGAAAAGCAGCAGGUUAAUACCCCGCUGUUCUGACGGUACCCAAAGAAUAAGCACCGGCUAACUUCGUG